CCUACGGGAGGCUGCAGUGGGGAAUAUUGCACAAUGGGCGAAAGCCUGAUGCAGCAACGCCGCGUGAGCGAUGAAGGUCUUCGGGUCGUAAAGCUCUGUCCUAAGGGAAGAAUAUUGACGGUACCUUAGGAGGAAGCCCCGGCUAACUACGUGCCAGCAGCCGCGGUAAUACGUAGGGGGCUAGCGUUAUCCGGAAUUACUGGGCGUAAAGGGUGCGUAGGCGGCCCUUCAAGUCAGAGGUGAAAGGCUACGUCUCAACCGUAGUAAGCCUGUGAAGCUGUAGGGCUUGAAUGCAGGAGAGGAGAGUGGAAUUCGAAGUGCAGAAGUGAAAUGCCUCCCUAUUGGGGCGAGCAACAGCUGCGAAUGAAGAGCUGUGGACUGUAACCGACUAACAGGCUCGAAAGCGUUACGAGUGAACUGGAGCAGAUACACGGGUAGCC
rnacentral:rRNA from 1 species